UGGUCUCGGUCUGGACCGUUCGUUGUCCGCGCCUCACCUGGAGGACGAAAAGAUGACGCACAAACGUUUGGGUGAGCUGUCGCGGUAACCUUCACAGGACACAGACGCACGACGCAUGAGCAGCAGUUUGGAUGUGAGCUGUGUUUACUUACUGGUUGAGUUCAAGGUCAAGGAUGAAAGAUGCACCGAAGGCCUCCACCAGGAAGCUGCUCUGAGACAGAUGGAUGGGCUAAAUGUGAGAGUAAGGGAAAAAACACAUGAAGAGAAAUAAACGCAAAUGACAGAUUAAAAACAAACAAAAAAGAUCUUCUGAAAAUCAGGUGUUCUGUCACUUUAAGAGUUCUGAUAAAUCCCUGCAUUUGCUGACAUGGAUUAACAUAAACACGGCAGAUACAUUUUAAUAGCAACAUAUUCAACCUGUUUAUAUAUUUUUUAAAAAGUAAAAAAAAAAAAUGCAAAUAUAUUACAAAAUGCAGAGGAAUGAUUUUUUUAAAGAAUUUUUUUCUUGAUUUUGUGCCAGACUUUUCUGAAUACAAACAUUUAACUCAGUAAAUAGACUGUAAAGACACUUCUUAAAAAAAUAACCCAAUUUUUAUAGACAAAUUACAGAAAUACUCAAAAUAUCUCUUGAGAAAUUAAGCAAACAAUAUUAAAUUUGCAAUCAUUAAAACGUUUUCUGCUUUUGUCACCUGAUAAUCUGAUAAUUUUAGAUGUUUUAGGGAUAAAAUCUGCAAGGAAGUGAAAGAGUUUGAUUUAAAACUACUUGUAAAGAUUGAAAUUAUGUCACUAAGAAACAUAAAAAAACAAAAAAAAGUUGUAGGUGAAUUUGAAACAACACAAGUUUUUGAUUUUGUUCAAAAAUGGCAUAAUCAUAAUUUAAUUUAAACGCUUUGAAAAUAGAUCAAAAGAUGAUCAGAGUGGGACUUAAAUAAGAAAAGCAGAGAGCUGGAGAGUGGAACAUUUCUGUGGCAACAAUUGAAGUAGUCCAAAAACUUCUCAAUCUGUUUUUGUAUGUUUAAAAACAAAAACUCAUCCGUGGAUUUAAAGAGGGCCAUCAGCUUCUGUGGACCAAAUCAAAAACUGCAUAGAAGCAGAAACGAGCACCGCAGUUUAUCAUCUACAUUUACAUGUCCGGGCUCCUGUUUCUGCAGAGAGGUCAGGAGACAAGGUCGGCUCAGGGUCAGCCCUGUGUCAUAUCCACUGUCCGGCAGCUGUCUACUGUCCAUAGCAAAGGUAACGUAAGACCACAGGUGGAGGUGUGAAAUAUAACCUAAUGAGGAGGGAGUGUGGCUGCCAUCAUCAGUUAGAAUAUUCUUAUUCUUUCCUACCUUCAGGUAUGGAAACACAGGUGUACAAAUAUUUAAAUUUGAUGUAAACAUUUCAAGCUCUCCAUUCAGAUAAAUGUGUUCGGUUAAUCUGGGGACAGGUGGAGGAGCUCACCUGCUGCCUCUCCUCCGGGGGGGCUUUGACCCGGGUCUCCAGGCGGCUGUGGAGCAGCUCCUCGUCGGUGUGGACCUGUUGGAGGAGCCGCUUGGGCUGGACCAGCUCCCCCGCGUGCCGGUCCCCCAGACUCACGCGCUCCCACAAACCUGCGCGGCACGCGGGCAUCGAGAGGGAGACAAAAACAAACAAACAAAAAGUUUACUCCUUCUAAUGUUUUGUUUUCUACAAAGGUGUUGCUCACCUGUCCCCGCGCAGCUCGCGCACAGUGAGGCGAACAGCAGGCAGGUUGUGGCGGCGGGCAUGGUGCUCUCAUCCGCCGUGAUUGCCUCCGUGUUGCGCCGUCACGCGAGGUGGCGGGGGUCGCUGGGCUGCAGACGGGUUCGGUUGAGGUUCGGGGCAAACAUCUCCCCCUCACCGCCACCACCACCACCCUUCAGCUAACCACGGGUUCAGCGAACUCGCUCCGAGUCCUUACGAGUGAGGCUGCGCGGGCGCCGCGUGCCCACCCCCUCAUCUGCAGAGACGUGUCUAACACAUUGACUCGGGGGCCUAUGGCCCAAAACGUGGUGCCCCACUGAGUGUGACGUAAAUUAUUAAUAUCACUUUAAGAAAUUAAAAUAAAUCCAAACUAAAAUAUAAAUAUAAAAAUAACCUUAUUUUGUUUAAAUUCAGCUAAAAGGAAAAAAAAAA